GUCGAGGUGACGCGCCAACUUAAUCACAGCUGACGUCACGUCUGGUCCUCUUGGCUCGCCGGCCGCGAUUGGCCAAACUGGCUUGGCGAUCCCUUGCUAAUUGGGUGUUCAGGUUGUCUGGUCUGGUUACCUGGAGUUGGAGCCCCGCCCCUGGGGGCAAAGUAGUGAAGAGUCAGGAGAACGAGAGUCUUUUCCGUCGCUGGUGGUCUGUGGGGAGGAAGGCCGCCACCACCCCAAAUAUGUAGGAUAACCACUGUGAUUUUCCAGGAAGCCCAACUGGGCAUUUUCCAUGAUUCCACCACCACUUGAAUAAAUCCCUUCAGGUACACUACUUCUUAAUUCAGACCUUUAAGAAUUGUUAUGUGUGUAAUGUGAAUUAUAGAGUUAAUUAUCCUUCCACUGAGUUUGCGUUAAGUGGGAACCUCACAAGAGAGCAAGCAGUUUUUAAACUGACUUAA
rnacentral:lncRNA from 1 species